rnacentral:lncRNA from 1 species
CUUGUAUGAAGGACAUUGGAGCUGAAUCGCAGUGAAAAGCCUUCGUACGAGUCGAUCUUUAAGACGCUUCGACAGAGACUUUGCUUCUUGCCGAGAAUAUAACCAGAAUUUGUGACUUGGUAACCAAGAUGUUGAAUCAUCUUUGGGAACCAAUAACUUGAGUUUUCCAUGGCUUGGGCCAUCCCUUGAGUCAAGAAACCUUGUGCCUAGUAUAAUUGACACCUAGUGCACAUCCAAUCUUGAACUCCAACAACUUGACGCUAACACACAUGUCUUGAGUUGAUUCAUCACUUUCCACCAGCUUGCCUUUCUAUUAGGCGUCUCCACAAGAAUUUCAACCAUAGCAUUCACCCUCGGUAAGCCUCGCGGGUUCACCCUUGAUCUUCCGGAGCUUUGACUCGCUAGAAAGAACAUCCUUGUGGUCUCCAAAGCUUGAUGGCCAUUGGUUCUAACUUCAAGCAUUGUGUUGCGCCUUCAAGAACCAAUAAGGUUCAUAACCAAGAGUAUUUGUAACCAGAAUGAGANNNNNNNNNNNNNNNNNNNNNNNNNNNNNNNNNNNNNNNNNNNNNNNNNNNNNNNNNNNNNNNNNNNNNNNNNNNNNNNNNNNNNNNNNNNNNNNNNNNNGUGGGAUUUGCGAACAGUUCUAGCCCUGGGGCCCUACGAUUUCUUUGCUUAUAAAAGCCAAAGCAGCUCAGAUCUUUCAACCUGGCUCUGAUACCAUGUAAGAUUUCAAAGAGAAUGAGCUGCAAGAUCCAAUCUCCUUCAUAAACUCACAAGAAACUCACAAGAACACCAAAUCUGAGUUUGUGUGCUCUUGUUUAUAACAAUCAAGAACGAACUCAAUGAGAGCUAUUCUUGAGGUUAUAAACUAAGUAAUACACGCCCAUUUAAGCUGUAUACACUUGAGAAUAAGCAUUAGAGACAGCAGCACUCUCACACCAAAAACAGAACCCAAAACCCUUAUAGAAUCGAUUUAGAGAUUGAAAGAGAAUUGAAUGAGAGAAUGGGAUGAGACCAAGCAUUGCCAAAGCUUGGUCUCUCCAUGAGAGAAUAAAGAUCAGAACUUCCCCAUUUUUGAGUAUAAGACACGAUUUUAGUAUAGGGGAAGACUCCCCAAAGGAGAGCUUAACUUUAUUAAUGUGAAGCUUACAUAUUUAUACAAAAAUGAAUGGGAUAAGAGUAUCCCUUCUAAAACCUAGUGAGCAACGGUAACAUAUACAUUCACUUAUACACUUUUGAAUGUAUAUUGAUGACAAAUACUAAAGGAGAGAGUGACAUCUCUCAAGUGGCCCCUUAGAAGCAACAUGUGACUUCUCCCCACUUGUUUCUUCUUCUAAAUGCAACAUGUGACUUUGGGGAGAGAGGGGCUCGUCCAAGAUGAUAGUGACAGCUCCCAACGUCCCUUUUAAACUCACAUGUGACUCCUUGCAACUUGUAUUGCUUCCUCACACAUGUGGCUUCUCUUUUGGCGCCUAAACACAUUUGAAUCUAGGGACUUCUUCACUUCGUUCAUCGACCCUAGAUUUGCACAUUCUUUAUCAUCUUGUUGUUGACCCUAGAUUUGCACAUCUUCAUCUUCAAGAUUGACCCGAACUUUUCACAUUCUUCUUUGGUGAUUAAACCCCGGUUUUGCACAUCUUGGUGAUGACCCGAACUUUGCACAUCUUGAUAACUUCAUGAUGACCCGAACUUUGCACAUCUUGAUAACUUCAUGAAUGACCCGAACUUUGCACAUCUUGAUCACUUCAUGAAUGACCCGAACUUUGCACAUCUUGAUAACUUCAUGAAUGACCCGAACUUUGCACAUCUUGAUCACUUCAUGAAUGACCCGAACUUUGCACAAGCUUCGGUCUUGAUAACUUUGACCCGAACUUUGCACACCUUGAUCACGUGUGUGCCUAGAGACCGAUCGUUCUAGUGGAUAGAUUGAUCGAUCCCUUGUUGUGAACGAUCGGUCAUUUCCUUGUUGUUGUGAUCGAUCGAUCCCUUGAUGUUGUGAUCGAUCGUUCCUUCAUUGCUUGUGCUCAUUUAUUUCAAUACUCCCCCUCAACCUUGACCGGAAGGGAUGAAGGUUAAGCUUGGACGUAAAUGAGCUUGAUCAAGUAUCAAUCCUUGAACCACAUGAACUCGCCCUAGUCUUCUAGACUUCGGACUUGAGCUUUCCCAUUAGCUUCUUCCUCUCAAUACUCCCCCUCAAGCUUGGACGUUGGGGACCAAAGGCCAAGCUUGCAACACGCAAAUGACUACCUCAUUAAAAACCUUAGCAAAGAAAACCUCUUGGGAUAAAACUUUGCUAAGGGAAAAAGAGUAUAGUCUUCACGGUUGAACGAUUUAGCUAUAGCCAUGGUUUGAAUGUAGGGUCACUUGGGCUUCUUGCUUUGACUUCUUGUUGAGACUCUAACCCUCCGUGUGUGUACUCGCUUAAGGAACUCCUCCUUUCGGUCACCACCAUGGAUUGAUCUUUCUUUGUUUAGUCAAGCCACCAUUAGCCUUGCUUCUUCCCUUUCCAUACCAUAGCUUUCAUGAUCCAACCGGUUCUCUUCUUCUCAUCUAGCUUCUUUUGAUGGCUUUCUUUCUCUUUUACACCUUCAUUCAAAAGAUGUAAAGAAAUCUUAAGAAUAUGUGCCAUAAGAAUAACAUUAAGCUUAGAUGAGACUUGGGAGAACAAACUUAUAUUGAACUAGCUAGUCCAAUUUAAACACAAGAAUAUAAAUUAGACACUAAAACAUCCUAAAUCCAAUUUAAAUUCAGUUCAUAAAAACAGAUUUUAACAAAUUGACUAAUGUCAUAUAAAUAUUUUUAAAACUGAUAUUAAGCUUCUAAAACCUUAUAAAAUACUUAUAAAAAUAUAUUUCAACUUUUAAAUAAUUUAAAAACGUUUGAAAAAUACUUUUAAAAAUAUUUUCAACUUUAAAAUAAUUUAAAUUCGUUUUUAAAAACAUUUUCACCGUUUAAAAACACAAAACAGAAUUUAAGAAAUAUUUUUAAAAGAGAAUAUAAAUGUAAAUAAAUUCAAACUUGAUCAAUCUAAAUCAAAAAUAUGACUAACACUAAUCAUAUUUUGACAACUUAACAAUCCAAAUCACAAUCAACACCUAAAACCAUUUUAAACAAUGAAGACACAAUUAUGAUCAUCAUGCAAUUUCAAGUUCAAAUAUGAGCAAUUUAAUCAACAAAAUUUAAAGAGUAAGGUUUAGAAUUAGCCUUUUGUCUUCUUUGUUGUAAAUGGUUGGAUGAGACUUGGUUUGCAUCACCAUUUGAGUUUCUGCCCCCAUGGGUCUCCUCUUCAUGGUUGAUGACUUUUAGAACUCAAUCCACCUCUUCUACAUACAACUUUGGAUGAGCUUCAUGGUCAGAUUGGAGACUUCUUCUCCAGUCGCUUCUUCCUUCUUUCUAUCUUCUUUGUAGCUUCCCUUGAAGCUAAGGAGAGAUAGAACACUUCUUGACUUCCAUUUGGCUUCAUUGGAAGCUUUGUUCGUUGCCAUUUAAUGGCCAAUCGAUCCCUUAACCGACCGUCAUGGUCGAUUGCUUCUUCUUAUUCGCGUCAGAAUGAUAUGUUCUCACUUAAUGGUUCAUAACUUACGAACGCCUGCUCGUAUCCGGAUGAUAUUACUUCCACUGGAAAGCUUACUCAAUUUCCAAGAACUUGUAUGAAGGACAUUGGAGCUGAAUCGCAGUGAAAAGCCUUCGUACGAGUCGAUCUUUAAGACGCUUCGACAGAGACUUUGCUUCUUGCCGAGAAUAUAACCAGAAUUUGUGACUUGGUAACCAAGAUGUUGAAUCAUCUUUGGGAACCAAUAACUUGAGUUUUCCAUGGCUUGGGCCAUCCCUUGAGUCAAGAAACCUUGUGCCUAGUAUAAUUGACACCUAGUGCACAUCCAAUCUUGAAAUCCAACAACUUGACGCUAACACACAUGUCUUGAGUUGAUUCAUCACUUUCCAGCAGCUUGCCUUUCCAUUAGGCGUCUCCACAAGAACUUCAACNNNNNNNNNNNNNNNNNNNNNNNNNNNNNNNNNNNNNNNNNNNNNNNNNNNNNNNNNNNNNNNNNNNNNNNNNNNNNNNNNNNNNNNNNNNNNNNNNNNNCACCCUUGAUCUUCCGGAGCUUUGACUCGCUAGAAAGAACAUCCUUGUGGUCUCCAAAGCUUGAUGGCCAUUGGUUCUAACUUCAAGCAUUGUGUUGCGCCUUCAAGAACCAAUAAGGUUCAUAACCAAGAGUAUUUGUAACCAGAAUGAGAGUAUGAGUAACCAAGAUUUUGAGAAUAAGUAGCCAAGAGAAUAGAGAAACCAGAAUGAGNN